CACAAAUGUUAGGCUUUGGAAUCAUCAAGUUGUUGGUCCUAAAUCACCAUCUCCAUUCUGAUCUGUCUUCUGGGAUCUUCUUCAAUCUGUCUUCUGGAAUCUGUAAUCAGUGUUGCUAUAUUCAAAUCAUCUGAUCAAGUCAUCUGCUCAUCUGAAGAUCAUUCAUCCGAUCUGCUCAUCGUCUUCAUCAUCUCCAGCUCUCUACACCUGCAAUCAUCUCGAAUCUGUAUAAUCAUUUACUUUCAAAUAUUAUCAUUCAUAAACUGUUGCAAUACUUUUAUCAUAAGCAUAAUCAUACAUCUUAGUAGCAACUCUAAUAGAAGCUCACGAGUCCGGGCUUGAGCUCGAGGUCGAACUUGAAAUUUAACCUGCAAUUCCGUAAAUUAGAAGAAAAAAAAUCUAUAACUAUAUAUAACAUGCAAUAUCUAUAUUUAGAUUUAGGUUUUUAUUAAUUUUUUUUAUAGUUCUUAUUAAUUAAUAUCUAUAUUUUAUUUAAUUAUUAAAAACCCUCAGCGAGCUUAUAGAGUUUGAGUUUUAGGCUUGAGUUCGGCUCGUUGGACUCGCGAGCUUGAGCUUAACGAGUCGAGCUUUAGUUGACACCCUAAUCACCUCUAAAGUAAACUAGUGAUGUGAUAUAUUAUAUGAUUAUGAUAUAUCAUCCAAAAGUAUAAAAAAUAAAUGAGUGGACUGGUGGAAGCCAGAGGGCUAUGUUUAAAAUAAAAUUAAAAUGGUUUGAAUUUAUGUGAACAAUUGGUGUUCUUUAAAAGCCACUAGUUUUAUCUUUUAAAAAAAGAAGGCAAGUUUUGUCUUCUACCUCAAAGAAGAAGCCUAAAAUAAUAAAUAUUUUGCUUCUUGUUAGUUGGCUGCCCAACUUUUCUUUGGAAUGUGGGGUACCAAUCACCGAACACAGUGAUGCUCAAGACAAUUCAUACCAGCAAACAUUUCUUGUCUCUUUGCUUCUUAAUUUUCACUUAUUUCAACAGCACUGAGAAAGAAAGGCCGGCAGGAAGUGGAAAGCAUCAAACAUAAAAAAUAAAAUAAAAGGAGAAACACUUAGAAUCUAUCUAUCAUAUCCAAAUUUAUUAAAGUACAGACUUAAUCUUAGAUCCUCUGAAACUUUAAUAGUAAUCGUGACUGGUUUCAAUUUUAUUUUUGAUGAAGAAUCGAGCAAGAUGGAAAAAGCGACGACGAUGAUGAUGAAGUAGUGG
rnacentral:lncRNA from 1 species